UGGAAGUAGUUCCAGCCAAUGAGCAGAAGGAGGAAAAGAGGCAACAUGAACAGCUCCCAAAGCCACACUGUCAACACAAAUAUCUAAGAAAGACAGAGAAAGAGAGAGAUGGUAUCAAACAGGUGCUGUAGCUCCAUCUACAGGCCAAAGUGAGACAUGCAGCAGAGAACUCUGUGUGACCCCUCUGCAGUCUCCACUGAUGUAUGCCACAUUCAUCUUUCUCAAUGAAAGCUGUGUUUUGCGAGAGGGAGCGUGUAUAUGCGCUCUGCUGUGCGCAGGUCGGGGUGGUGACCUCUGGGAUUUCCAGCACUGGGGUGGGAGUGUGUUCCGGGAACAGGCGCUGCCUGUGCAACCUACAGACCUGGACAAAGAAACCGCAGCACCACAAAUGCAUUAUAAGUUGUGUAAAGUGUAAAAGCUACAGGACAGAGACUCCACUGACUCUAUGAAUAAUGUAUUGUAAUGUAUUUUAAAUAUAUGUUUGUAAAGUAAAUAGUAUCCUCUCUCCACUGGCUACUUUGUGUACUACAUUCCAAGUAUACAGGCCUACAUUAUAAAUUAAACGGCUGACAUGACUACGAUGACAUGGAUUGGAUGAGAAAACGUAGAAGAAAGCACGGUCUCCUCUAAUUAUGCUCUUCUUAGAGGCAAGCAUCUGUCAAUGUCUGACUCUGUUACCUUAUUACCACAGCCUACAGAUAUACAUACACCCAUAGAGCGAGAGAAAGACAGAUAUGUGUUCGUUAACCCUUGAGGGUUACGCGCUGUUUUAUAGACGUCGCGCAACAUGUAUGGUAAUUAAACAUUGUGAGAGAGUACGAAAAAAGCAUGAAACUGGUCUUUACAAUCGCAUAGUUGAGAUUCACCCCUCCGGCCUGUUGUUUCUAAAGCCUAGACGAUUUACACAGGUGCCCUAUUUUCAUUUUUCCUGUCAUUUCCAUAGCUCGGCAUCACCUGCGCAGCUUUGAACGCAGUGGUGCGGAAACAGGCCACAUGCUAGUGGAGAAGAGAUGAUAUUCUUUCUGUUCUCAACCCCACGUGUGCAGACAAAGAUAGAGCGGGCAACAGGACGUCCCACGUCCCCGUCUCCUCAGGUGGAUGGGCGCACACACCUCCAACGACGCUGAUGCCAUACCAUAAACAAGCGUUCAAAAGUUUGGGGUCAGUAUGAUUUUUUUUUUUUUUUUUUUUUAAUUAAAUUAAUACUUCUAUUCAGCAAGCACGCAUUAACCUGAUCAAAAGUGACAGUAAAGACAUGCAUGUUGCAAAAUAUUUCUAUGCUGUUCUUUUGAACUUUCUAUUCAAAGAUUCCUGA